CUGAAGCAAAUAUGCAGGUGGUUGUUAGAGAACAAGGGUACCGAGCGUGACCAACGCGAGAAGUCACUUGGAUGUCUACUCACUCGUCAGUGACUUACUCAAUGUUGCAGUAGUAUGACUGGUCCUUUGACCUGCGGUGCCUCGGCUAUUCACAAUGAGGUUACUGUAGUUUGACUGUACAUACACUUGGUCCCUAGCCAUUCGGGUCCUUGCGGUGCAUGUUGGCUGCAGUAGGUUCAUUGUAGGAAUAGGAUGCGCACUUAGAUAGAAUCUAUCUCCCUUGGUAGAUAGGGGUGUUAGUCCUAUAUGAUUUAUGAGAUCGAGUUUAGAAGAUCUUGGCCAGGGCAAACUUAAUAGCGGAAAAGGGUUUCCGAUAGUAGAAACUCGAGUCGAAUAAAUUUAACAUAUGACAGACGAUGGGGUUUGACGAGUUAUUCCAUAACCUCCGUCUAGUCGGGACUCAUGAUAGAAGGAUUGUAUCACACGGUAACUGCACCAAGAGGUUCAUUAUUCCAUUCUACUGGAAUGCCACUACAUGCUGCUAGGCGUCACUGGUGGAUUGUGAGACUCAUGAGAAUUAUCUAGAUGAUCGAUAAUUCUCAUUGGGCUGAGUUGGAAUUGUUCUAAUCCAUUGAAAGGAGUUUCAGUGAUAUUGUUGAUAGUGAUCAAAAUAUAUCUCACUACCAGAUAGAAUAGAACCUAUGGGGUCACACACAUAAGAGGUUGUGAUUGAUCGGAUAGCUAGAUCGCGAUUAUUGAAUCGCCGGAGGACCUAAUUGUCAAUAUGUUGAUAAUUGGACUAAUUUGUAAUUAUUACAAAUUAAUGGUAUUAAGGUGUAAAUGUUACUAGAGAGGACUUACUAAUAGUUAGUAAAUUAUAAGAGGACUUAUGUGCAAAUAUUACUUUAUUAAUUUUAUAUGAUCAAAUUAAUAUAAAAUUUAAGUCGAAUCAAAUUAGGAUUUUAUCGAUCUAACCAAUUAAGAAAAGGAUAAAUUUAUAUCUAGAUUCGUACUUAUCCUUAAUGGUUAUUAUAUUAUCAAAAAGAGGAUUAUAUUCCUCUAUAUAAUAAUACGAGAGUUUUGAGAAACCCUAGCGGUCAUAUUUCUUCUCCUCUCUCUUCCAUCUUCUAGCAAAAAGGCGUCCUUUGCAAGGAAGCUAGCACCCCGAUGAGGAUAUCGAUCAAAUCAAGAACCUCGUGUGGAUACCUAUAGAGAUCGGACGCGUGUUGUCACGCCCCGGGACCGAUGCCAAUUUGGCUCGACCCGAGCACGUCAAACAGACGCCGAACGGACAGAGUUUUCCCUAUCCGCCCAAGGCUCAUCACAUGUACAUUUUUAUCAAUAGAGAAAAGCACUAGCGGAAACAUAUACAAACGGCUUACAUGAGGGUAAGCAAUAGCCAUUAGUGAAAGAAAGGAAAACUAAACAUUUACAAGUACUAUGAUUCAUUUUUUGAUCAUAUACAUUGCAUUCAUUUACAUUUAUGAUUCUUGUACUUCAUUACACAUUUCAUCAUUUCUUUCUUACAUCACAUUUACCUCAAAAUAAGCUUUACAUUCUUUUCUCAACAUCAUUAGUCAUCAAAUACAAAAGAUGAACAUAGGGUACUCUACUAACAAAAUGUAAACCCAACUCAACUCUGGUGGCCUCUGUCUAAGGCGCAAUACCUUUACCUCGGUCGCUCGCCGGCUCGCUCGGUCCCGGCUCUGUGGAAAUAGUGGGGUGAGAACUACAACAAAGUUCCCAGUGGGUUCGGCCCAAACAUCACCGACUUUCCCACUAGGACUAAACUCAGGCAUAAUAGAAGGAUAAGCUGAAAUAUAGUAACCAAUCUACAACAUGAUGCUAAUAUGCCUGAACAAUAAGCAAGGAAUAUGCUCAACAUUAACAUAUGCAGAUUAUGCAAGUUCUUUCAUUCUUUAUCUUUACUCUUUGUUCUUUGUUCUUUGCUCUUUGUUCUUUAUUCUUUAUUCUUUAAUCUCAAGGCUAACCCGGGGGUUUCGCCACAUUAACUUGCUUCACAUUAAGUCCAUCAUCGCAGGAACUCACCCGCUAGGACCGUCCUUCGGGUUUACUCCAACCCGUGAUGCAUAACUCCGGAGCGCAUCGCCCGAGGGGGAGCGACCGCCCUCGAGCACGGAACUCAUAGCAAGUAUGAUCAUAUCCUUAACUCAAAGGAUUUAUAUGUUCAAUCUUGACUUUACACUAGCUCUAGUGUUCAUUACAUCACUUUAUGUUGCUAACUCUUGCAAUCAUUGUUCUUUACCAUUCAUUACUCUUGCUAUCUCUAGCAAUUAUAUUCCUUACCAUUCACAUUACUUUAACUUUAAACAUUGUCAUUUUCAUCAUUAUUUACAAUACAUUGGUUUUUUAGUUCACACUAUCUCUAGUGUCAUUUCACUUUAACUUUAUCGAAUGCCACUUGAUCUAUGUCAUUGUGUCACUCUGUUCUUUUGCUCACUUUGGGUGCUCACUUUUCUCUCAUGCAUACACAUAGGGUUUUCGACAUUCACAUAAUUCUCACUCAUCGUAUUAUGCAAGUUGUACUCACAAUCAUGAAUCAUUAUAUUUUCAUCAUUACUUUGCCCUAAAAUGCAUGCAACAAUAUAUUUACACAUGCUCAAAUGAAUGACACAUUAGGCAUAGAGAGAAGUUCAACGAGUUUGGAAAGCACCACCCACCUCGUAGGUCUCUUUAGGUGCUCCGACGAUUUUCUUGAGAUUUUUAGACACUCGGUUCACUACCUGCGGCAUAACAAAGCCAAAUUAGGCUUAUUGGGCCAUAACUUUACAUACACUUUUCGUAAUGCUAUUCCGAGCGCACCAACGCGUCGGAAGUACCCCCAAUUAGGUUUCUAGAUGGUCAAUUGCACUUAGAAAUCCCCAUGAGCAAAAGCCCCAAUUUGGUGCCCUAGCUCCAAUACAUAUACAAAACCUAGGGUUUGAUCUCAUUGGGAAGCAAAAGUAGCUUCAUUAUACUCUAAAAAGUCUAUUAGAACCAUCUUUAGAUAAAUCAAAACCCUACUUAGGGUUUCACCAUGAGAGGUGAUGAAGCUCACCUCAAGCUUCACCAUUUCUAUGGUCUUAAUCUCAAACGAAGCAAAAGAAAAGUUUCAAAUACUCAAAUGGUUCCAUAAAACCCAUUUUAAGCUUAAUCCAAACCCUAGAUUAGGUUCUACCAUGAUUAGGGUUCCAAGCUUACCUUGUAAGCUCUCCUUUUCCAAGCUAGAGAGGAAGAAGAUGAAGUUGCUUCACCUCUUGAUCUUCUUCUUCACCUUAUUUUCCUUCUUUUCCUUCCUUUCUUUCUUUCUUCUUCUUCUCCUUUGUCUUCUAGAGAGAGAGAGGGAGAGAAGAGAGUGUGAGAGGGUGAGGAAAUGAGAGAAAUAUCUCAUUUGCCCUCAUACAUAGCUAUUGGGUUGCCAAAAUGCAAAUAAACCCCUCAACUUUCACUUUAAUACACUGCCCGAACUGGGCUGUUCGCGCAGGCGGGGACCGGUCUCUCCUUCAGGGACCGGUUCCCAAAGGCUCUCCCCGCGCAGCAAGAGCUGCUGCGCGCAGGGCAACCGGUCUCUCUUUGGGGGACCGGUCUCUCGGGGACCGGUCUCUCAGGCAGGGACCGGCUCCCGAGAGCUAGUUUCUCAGGACUUAGCCGAUUUUUCGGCUGUCUCCUUUCAUACACGUUCGGGGACUGGUCUCUCCCACCAGGGACCGAUCCCCGAGAGCUCAAAAUCUGCAGUUUUGCAGAAUUUGAUUCUUUAGCUCUCGAAAACCUUCCACAACGCACUUUUGAUCAUUUUAACACCUUCAGACUUUCCGAAGUGUACCGUCCUCGCACUUUGGUCAAUUUGACUAAAGUUCGAUAUUUACUUUCUGAAUUUUCGGUAUAUUACACGUGUGCAGCUUCAAAAGAACCCAAUUCCACGAUCAUCAAAUUGAGUAUUUGAUGUGAAGAUCUAUCCGCGAAAAAGGUAAAGAUUCCAUCUUACUUUUCUUCUUUAAUCUUAAAGAACAUGAGGGAUCCUAAUUGCGUGGUUUUUUAGAUUGGAUUUCGAGAGUUUUCAAAAUCAAAUUUGUUUGAUUUCUUUUUCUGCUGCGUUUUUACCGUACGCAAUUUUCUAACAUCUACAUGGCGGUUGCCUUUGUUUAUUGUUCGCAUAUCCAUACUUGUAACAUACCGAAUCCCCAAUGAGUUGUAUCGAACUUCCGUCAAAUUGAUCGAAGUGUGGUAGUGGACGAGUUGGUGAGGUCCGUUAAUUAUUUCGAGUGAUUCGGAAUACAUUAGAUAAGUGGUUUGGGCCUGGGAGAGCAAGCUAGGAAAUUCCAAGCCUUUUUGUGCUGGAAAUGCUCUCGGGGUUCGAACCCUGAGUGCAAGGUUCGGACCCCGUAUAUGAAAAACCACAAAGUUGGUCUAACUCUGUUAUUUGAGGGGGCUAGGUGUAAUUGUACAAGUGGGAGUGUUUAUAUGGGGUGCUAUGUUGUUUUCCCCUCUCAUUUCCCUCACACUACCAACAUAAGAGAAAACUCUCUUUCUCUCUCUAAGACUCUCCACUCUAUCCCUUUCUCUCCUUCUCUCACUAGGGUUUGCUCCAAGAGAGGAGAUUGGUGGGAAAGAAGGCUUGCUUAGGGGUGAAGCUAGCUCUUGUGCAAGGGGUUGUGGAGAAAACUAAAACUUGAGGUGUGUUUUGUGGUUAUGAGCUAGGAUUUUGGUUAGUGUCCUUCUAAUUGUGGUUUCAAGAAGAUUCUAUGGUAGAUUGAUUCAUGAAUCUCCUAGAAAUAGUGGGUAUUUGGUAAUGGAAACCGUAGGGUUAAAUUAGGGUUUUUGUAGAAUUGAGAUCUAACUUGGGUUUGAUCUCUUGUAGCCCUAAUUGGUAGACAAACCGACACGUUGGGAGACUCGGAUUGGAGUUCUGACGAGUCUACGUCGAGAUAUUGGGGAAAACCCCCAUUUCGGCUUCGUUUGCUGUGGGUCGAGGAAAAUAGGCGACCAUAAAUUAAUUGCGAGACUUGAGUUGCAGCCUUCCGGCAUUCCCAUGAGGUAGGGGUACUAUCCGAAAUCAUCCAAUUUCUCAUUAUGUCUAUGUCGCCUUUUUGAGCAUAUAUGUGUAUUUGUGGCAUUCAUGCAUAGUAGGGGUAUUGUGAUAUGCGGCUAUGGUUGGGAAUCUCUUGUAUACUUUCAAUGUAAAAGAACAUAUGAAUUGAUAAUGGACCAUGCAUAUAGAAACCUUAUAAAUGUAUGAAUUGGAUGUGCCCCAAUACAUUUGAAGAGAUUUAACGUAUGAGUAAGAUCUCUUAUGCCUCAGCUAUAAGGAGUCUUAUGUAUGCCGUGCUGUGUACACGACUUGAUAUCGCGCUUGCUGUGAGUGUCACAAGCAGAUAUCAAUCUAAUCCAGGCGAUGAGCACUGGACUGCUGUGAAGAAUAUACUCAAGUACUUGAGAAGAACUAAGGAUAUGUUCUUGGUCUUUGGAGGAUGAGAGUUGAAAAUAUAAGGAUAUACUGAUUCAGACUUUAUAUCUGAUGUUGACGAUAGAAAGUCUAUGUCAGGAUGUGUGUUCUUAUGCAAUAGUGGCUCAGUGUAGUGGAAGAGUUCCAAACAACCGAUUAUUGCUGACUCUACUAUGAAAGUAGAGUAUAUCGCCGCAUCUGAAGCUGCAAAAGAAGCCUUCUAGUUCAGGAAAUUUGUUGCAGAACUAGGUGUGAUGCCAUCGGUGCCAUACUACUUUACUGCGACAACAAUGGCGCCAUAGCCCUAGCUAAGGAGCCCAGGUCUAAUCAGAAAUCCAAAUAUAUAGAGCGGCGGUUUCAUAUAAUACGCGACUACCUCGACAAGAAACACAUUGAGAUGCACAGAGUAGACUCCACGGUUAACGUGGCAGACCUAUUGACUAAAUCACUUAGCCAGCAGAAGACUGAAGUCCGUCUUGAGAAGAUGGGGCUUAGGUAUAUAGCUGAUUUGGCUUUAGUACAAGUGGGAGAUUGUUAAAUGUAUGCCUUAGAAACUAACCAGGCCGACACAUGUAUUUUUCUAGAACAUAAAUUUGUAUUUGACUUUAAAAUAUUAUAAAUAAAUUUGGGUUCUUAUUUUCAUUUAUAUUGUGUAUGUGUCCAUAAAUCAUCCAAUAAAUUAAUAAGAUGAUGACAUAUAUUCUCAAGAGUUGAGAAUUUGAGACGUGUCAUUGGUGAUUAAUUCCUAAAUGCUCCCGAUCAAUGAAUCAUCACAGAGACGGUGAUUGAUCCGAUGAGAUUGAUGCAUAGGUCGCUUCCAUUUUUGGGUAGACCAGUCUUGAGUCGACAGUGUGGGGACAUUGAAGCGAAUAUGCAAGUAGUUGUUAGAGAACAAGGGUACUAAGCGUAACCAACGCGAGAAGUUACUUGAAUGUCUACUCACUCGUCAGUGACUUACUCAAUGUUGUAGUAGUGUGACUGGUCCUUUGACCUGCGGUGUCUCAGCUAUUCAUAAUGAGGUUACUGUAGUUUGACUGUACAUACAGUUGAUCCCUAGGCAUUCGGGUCCUUGCGGUGCAUGUUGGCUGCAAUAGGUUCAUUGUAGGAAUAGGGUGCGCACUUAGAUGGA
rnacentral:lncRNA from 1 species